AAUAAUUUUAUGUCACGUUAGCAUUUUCAUCCUGAAUUUCAGCAUUUUCAUCAUGAAAAAAAAUUAAAUCCAAAUUAAAAUCCUGAAAUUCAGGAUAAGAAUACUGAUGCGGCAUAAAACUAUU
rfam:Gossypium arboreum cultivar AKA8401 contig_10123_5, whole genome shotgun sequence.